rnacentral:rRNA from 1 species
UCUUCGGGGAUGAUUAAACCGGCGCACGGGUGAGUAACACGUGAGUGACCUGCCUUUUAGACUGGAACAACUUACCGAAAGGUGAGCUAAUGCCGGAUGAGUUAUAUAAGUGCAUGUUUAUAUAGGAAAAGUUGGGGAGACCUGACGCUGAAAGAUGGACUCGCGUCCCAUUAGCUAGUUGGUAGGGUAAUGGCCUACCAAGGCGACGAUGGGUAGCCGGCCUGAGAGGGUGGCCGGCCACACUGGGACUGAGACACGGCCCAGACUCCUACGGGAGGCAGCAGUGGGGAAUUUUGCGCAAUGCUCGUAAGAGUGACGCAGCGACGCCGCGUGAAUGACGAAGGCCUUCGGGUCGUAAAGUUCUUUCGACAGGGAAGAAAAUGCCUAUAAGUAACUGUGUAUGUAUUGACGGUACCUGUAUAAGCAGCCCCGGCUAACUCCGUGCCAGCAGCCGCGGUAAUACGGAGGGGGCGAGCGUUGUUCGGAGUGACUGGGCGUAAAGAGCACGCAGGCGGUGUUGUAAGUCAUUAGUCAAAGACUAGAGCUCAACUUUAGUAAGGCUAGUGAUACUAUAAUACUAGAGUAUCAGAGAGGAUUGCAGAAUUCCUGGUGUAGCGGUGAAAUGCGUAGAUAUCAGGAGGAAUACCGUUAGCGAAGGCGGCAAUCUGGCUGGAAACUGACGCUGAGGUGCGAAAGCGUGGGUAGCAAACAGGAUUAGAUACCCUGGUAGUCCACGCUGUAAACGAUGGAUGCUAGGUGUUGGGCUUUUAAGUUCAGUGCCGCAGCAAACGCGAUAAGCAUCCCGCCUGGGGAGUACGUUUGCAAGAAUGAAACUCAAAGGAAUUGACGGGGGCCCGC